GCGCAAGCGAGGCCAGGGGAAGGUGGGCGCAGGUGAGGGGCCGAGGUGUGCGCAGGACUUUAGCCGGUUGAGAAGGAUCAAGCAGGCAUUUGGAGCACAGGUGUCUAGAAACUUUUAAGGGGCCGGUUCAAGAAGGAAAAGUUCCCUUCUGCUGUGAAACUAUUUGGCAAGAGGCUGGAGUGUUAAAAGGCUUCAGAAGAAAUACUCUCUACCACAUCCCACAUCCGACAGUCUUGCUUGCCAGCAGCAAACACUUUUCAUUCUUUCAG
rnacentral:lncRNA from 10 species